AUUGAACCCUGGCGGCAUGCCUUACACAUGCAAGUCGAACGGCAGCAUGAUCUAGCUUGCUAGAUUGAUGGCGAGUGGCGAACGGGUGAGUAAUACAUCGGAACGUGCCCUGUAGUGGGGGAUAACUAGUCGAAAGAUUAGCUAAUACCGCAUACGACCUGAGGGUGAAAGUGGGGGACCGCAAGGCCUCAUGCUAUAGGAGCGGCCGAUGUCUGAUUAGCUAGUUGGUGAGGUAAAGGCUCACCAAGGCGACGAUCAGUAGCUGGUCUGAGAGGACGAUCGGCCACACUGGGACUGAGACACGGCCCAGACUCCUACGGGAGGCAGCAGUGGGGAAUUUUGGACAAUGGGCGAAAGCCUGAUCCAGCAAUGCCGCGUGUGUGAAGAAGGCCUUCGGGUUGUAAAGCACUUUUGUCCGGAAAGAAAUGGCUCUGGUUAAUACCUGGGGUCGAUGACGGUACCGGAAGAAUAAGGACCGGCUAACUACGUG
rnacentral:rRNA from 1 species